rnacentral:rRNA from 1 species
UACGUAGGGUGCAAGCGUUGUCCGGAAUUAUUGGGCGUAAAGAGCUCGUAGGCGGUUUGUCGCGUCGGCUGUGAAAACUCGGGGCUCAACCCCGAGCCUGCAGUCGAUACGGGCAGACUAGAGUGCUGUAGGGGAGACUGGAAUUCCUGGUGUAGCGGUGAAAUGCGCAGAUAUCAGGAGGAACACCGGUGGCGAAGGCGGGUCUCUGGGCAACUACUGACGCUGAGGAGCGAAAGCGUGGGGAGCGAACAGG